rnacentral:miRNA from 1 species
CAUGUCAUCAUUCUUAUUGAGGA